CAAGUCAAACCAUAUUCACAAAUAAUGUUCAAGCCAAGCACAGACACCUACAACAAAAUUCAACAUAUUCUAAAAAUUCAAAGUACAAAAGAAAAAGAUAAAACCCCUGUCCUAAGCACUGGCAUCCGUCAGUAGAUACCCUCUCAACUAAUGUCAUCAUUUGAGUCCUCCUGAUCUCCAGCUUCCACAUCCUCAAAGUCAUCCUCCUCAUCAUCCUCAUCCAUGUCUAGUGCUUCAGCUGCUUUAGAUCCGCUACCUCAUGCCUGCUCUUGAGGCCAAGCCAUAACACUAUGGAACUCAUCCAUAGUCCACCUGUGCACCGGUGGUGUAUCAUACAACCCCACUAUCAUCUCGGC
rnacentral:lncRNA from 1 species